GAUGAACGCUGGCGGCGUGCCUAAUACAUGCAAGUCGAGCGAAUGGAUUAAGAGCUUGCUCUUAUGAAGUUAGCGGCGGACGGGUGAGUAACACGUGGGUAACCUGCCCAUAAGACUGGGAUAACUCCGGGAAACCGGGGCUAAUACCGGAUAACAUUUUGAACCGCAUGGUUCGAAAUUGAAAGGCGGCUUCGGCUGUCACUUAUGGAUGGACCCGCGUCGCAUUAGCUAGUUGGUGAGGUAACGGCUCACCAAAGCAACGAUGCGUAGCCGCCCUGCGAGGGUAAGCAGCCACCCUGGGGCUGGGGCACGGCCCAGGCUCCGCCGGGAGGCAGCAGUAGGGAAUCUUCCGCAAUGUACGAAAGUCUGACGGAGCAACGCAGCGUGAGUGAUGAAGGCUUUCGGGUCGCAAAACUCUGUUGUUAGGGAAGAACAAGUGCUAGUUGAAUAAGCUGGCACCUUGACGGUACCUAACCAGAAAGCCACGGCUAACUACGUGCCAGCCGCCGCGGUAA
rnacentral:rRNA from 1 species